rnacentral:rRNA from 1 species
AUUGAACGCUGGCGGCAGGCUUAACACAUGCAAGUCGAACGAGUGGCGGACGGGUGAGUAAUGUUUGGGAAACUGCCUUAUGGAGGGGGAUAACUACGGGAAACUGUAGCUAAUACCGCGUACCAUCGGAUGUGCCCAAGUGGGAUUAGUUAGUUGGUGUGGUAAAGGCUCACCAAGCCGACGAUCUCUAGCUGGUCUGAGAGGAUGACCAGCCACACUGGAACUGAUACACGGCCCAGACUCCGACGGGAGGCAGCAGUGGUGAAUAUUGCGCAAUGGGGGCAACCUGACGCAGCCAUGCCGCGUGAAUGAAGAAGGCCUUCGGGUUGUAAAGUUCUUUCGGUGGCGAGGCGUUACCUACAGAAGAAGCACCGGCUAACUCCGUGCCAGCAGCCGCGGUAAUUC